rnacentral:rRNA from 1 species
CCACGGGUGAGUAACACGUAUCCAACCUGCCGUCUACUCUUGGACAGCCUUCUGAAGGAAGAUUAAUACAAGAUGGCAUCAUGAGUUCACAUGUUCACAUGAUUAAAGGUAUUUCCGGUAGACGAUGGGGAUGCGUUCCAUUAGAUAGUAGGCGGGGUAACGGCCCACCUAGUCUUCGAUGGAUAGGGGUUCUGAGAGGGAGGUCCCCCACAUUGGAACUGAGACACGGUCCAA